rnacentral:lncRNA from 1 species
CUAUUAGAGGAGAUUUUAGAAACUAGAAGACACUCCCCCAAGGACUGCCGAACCAGGACUAACCCUAAUCCUAACCCUAACGCUAACACUAACACUAACACUAACUCUCAACCUAACUCAACAGCACACAACCCAGGAUCACCACACCUGCCUGAAGAAAGUCCUCUCCUUCUGAGCCCUGUACCUGGACAAAGACCUCAGCUCCAGGGUCCUGAGCUUGCACAACAAACCAUCCCUGUGAAAUCUAUAAUCAAAACAGCAAUUGAACUCCUGCCUAAGAUUUUGCCCCAGCUUCCAAGAUUUGUUAUUGUCCGCAAUAGAAAGCAAGCCCAAUAUCCUGGAGAACAGGACCAGCAGGGAAUUUGAUCAGGAGUUGCAGAAGCUUCUGUUCUGAGCACAGAUCUGGAACUUGCUUAUGGGUCUCAGAUGUGGCGCACUCUGUGAUCAUUCCGUAUGACACGGAAGCCUGCAGAACACUUU